GAUGAACGCUGGCGGCGUGCCUAAUACAUGCAAGUCGAGCGAACGGACGAGAAGCUUGCUUCUCUGAUGUUAGCGGCGGACGGGUGAGUAACACGUGGAUAACCUACCUAUAAGACUGGGAUAACUUCGGGAAACCGGAGCUAAUACCGGAUAAUAUUUUGAACCGCAUGGUUCAAAAGUGAAAGACGGUCUUGCUGUCACUUAUAGAUGGAUCCGCGCUGCAUUAGCUAGUGGGUAAGGUAACGGCUUACCAAGGCAACGAUGCAUAGCCGACCUGAGAGGGUGAUCGGCCACACUGGAACUGAGACACGGUCCAGACUCCUACGGGAGGCAGCAGUAGGGAAUCUUCCGCAAUGGGCGAAAGCCUGACGGAGCAACGCCGCGUGAGUGAUGAAGGUCUUCGGAUCGUAAAACUCUGUUAUUAGGGAAGAACAUAUGUGUAAGUAACUGUGCACAUCUUGACGGUACCUAAUCAGAAAGCCACGGCUAACUACGUG
rnacentral:rRNA from 1 species